rnacentral:rRNA from 2 species
AGACCCGAAACCCGGUGAUCUAGCCAUGGGCAGGUUGAAGGUUGGGUAACACUAACUGGAGGACCGAACCGACUAAUGUUGAAAAAUUAGCGGAUGACCUGUGGCUGGGGGUGAAAGGCCAAUCAAACCGGGAGAUAGCUGGUUCUCCCCGAAAGCUAUUUAGGUAGCGCCUCGUGAAUUCAUCUCCGGGGGUAGAGCACUGUUUCGGCUAGGGGGCCAUCCCGGCUUACCAACCCGAUGCAAACUGCGAAUACCGGAGAAUGUUAUCACGGGAGACACACGGCGGGUGCUAACGUCCGUCGUGAAGAGGGAAACAACCCAGACCGCCAGCUAAGGUCCCAAAGUCAUGGUUAAGUGGGAAACGAUGUGGGAAGGCCCAGACAGCCAGGAUGUUGGCUUAGAAGCAGCCAUCAUUUAAAGAAAGCGUAAUAGCUCACUGGUCGAGUCGGCCUGCGCGGAAGAUGUAACGGGGCUAAACCAUGCACCGAAGCUGCGGCAGCGAACGUAUCACUUAAAGCGAUUCAGCGGGUUACGAUUGACGGAGCGAAGCGACGUCAAAGCGUAUACAAAGUCGAGUCGGUUUAAGGAUACGUUCGUUGGGUAGGGGAGCGUUCUGUAAGCCUGUGAAGGUGUGUCGUGAGGCAUGCUGGA